CUACAACUUGACUAUUCAGCUUACUACAUGGGAUUUGACUUAAUGUCAUACAGACCAAGUACAACGUGAUAGAAGCAUUGGAAACAUUUCUUGAAAAAUAAGAAUACAAUCACUGAGCACAUUUCAUAGAAUUUUACAUGGUCACACAGUUAAGUUUGCACAUUUAAAAGGAUCUGAGUCAUUCAUAUUAAUAUUGUGAAUUUCUUAUAAAUAAUUCAUUAGUCUAAGGAGUCUAGGCGAAGCCAAGCCAUGACAUUGUUUACACAAAGUACCGCACCUGGAACUUGUUCUGAGUUAUUUAACACAGAGCACAUUUUUAAUGCAAUAAAUAUUUACAGUUAAUAGUAAUGAGUACAAUUAUAAUUUACAAAAUAUGGGUCUAAUAUUUAAAACAAAACAGAAAAUGACAUUAAAGAAGCUUGUGCCAUGUAUUUUGACAACUCACCAAAUUGAUCAUUUCAACAAAUUUUAUUACCCAAAACCCUGCUGACUUGGAUGCAAGAAAGGCCAUGUUUGAAUCAGUUAAGCCCAGAUCACAGAAAGCAAAUUUUUUCAAGAAAAUCAGUUUUAAUUUCCUAAUGUUGUACAUUAGCAAUAUUGAUAUACCAAUAUCAAUAGCUAAAACUGAAGCGAAGUGAUGAAAAAAUUUGGAUUCACAACAGGCCCAAAUUAUAUAAUCUAACGACACUGAAAUCCUGAGUUAUACCAAAAUUUUCAAGCUUGUCUGAGAAUUAAUGAGGUGUUGAAUGUGUGAGGUUUUACUAUCCAUUAAACUAAGCCUUUUAAAAGACCCGAAAAUUAUGUGAGCCCUUCCAUGUCAUUAUAUGGCUCUGGGAAUGAAUUUUCAAUUUGGGGGAAAAUAUGGAAAAUAAUCUUAUCUUCUAGAAUGUGAGCUCAGAGAGGGCAGAGAGACAGUGGUGUCUGGGUUUAUAACAGGACACUUAGGGGUAGGCACUCAGAUACCUAAGUCCAUACCUGAGCGCAUGACUCAGCCUCUUAGUCCAGGGGAUAUUUUUCUGUUAGAGGCUAUUCAUGUAGCCCGGGUCUCCAGACUCUGGGAAAGCAUCCACUGCCAUUUCUUACUCUCGCCAGGGGGAAGUAGGGGAAUGGGUGGUUCCACCUCUUCCUGACACCUUUUCUCCAACUAAUCCUGAUUCAAAGAAGGAUGCCUGGCUUGACUGUUCUUACUUGGGUCCUCUCUGUGCACCUGGCCCUUUGCCAAGGUUUGUUCUCCCCAAUUAGUCACAGAACAAGGUGGGACAUUCUUCCCAAGACUUUCCGGGAAUUGUGUCUCUGGAGGCAACUGAACUAAGUAGAGGACUUCCUGCCCACCUACUCUGUGGUGCAUUUCAACUUCUACCUGCAGCGAGUCCUUAACUUAUGUACUUAGAAACAUCUUCGAUGCUCUUUGUGUAUAUUCUUUGACUCUAUCACUAGUUCAGGUCUUUGGACAAAAUCUAGAGUAGGGAACAGUAUUGCCUAUUAGGUACUGUGAACUUAGUUUCUUACAUGGGCUAGAUUUGGGAAGCAAUGCUGCACAGUGGAAUGGACAUAGACUUAACAGAGAUCCAGGUCUACGUUAACACUCUGCCAUUCAACUGUGCCAUGUGACCUUGGGAUCAGGAAGUAAUCUCCCUAAGCCUCAGCUUCAUCAUCUGAAGACCCUUCAAGGUACUUGUGAGGAUGAAGAGCAAUGUGCUUAGCACUGCAUUUGGCACUCAUUGGUACUUGGUGAAGUUGAGCCCCUUCCUUCCAGCACUUCUAGAGCCACAGAACUCCAUUCAGGUUUCAGACAAAUAUGGUUGUUUUGUGGCUUGUGUUUUUGCUCCCAAAGAUCCUGCCUUUCUAAUCAGCCUUCCACUUCAUUGUGAUGUGGAAUGCUGUUCCCACUAAUAUGCCUCUCCUGGGCAACCAACAAUGUCACUGUUCACUCCCUUGUGCCAAAUUAAACAGACUCACUUUGGGGGUCACAGACUAUCCUGUAAACUGGGGAAGUGAUGAUCAGCACUGUUCUUCAAUGUCACAAAAUGGGCCAUGAGAAUGCAUGAAAUCAGAUUAAGUUGAAUCAUAUGAAAUCACCUCUUUGUAGGUCAAAU
rnacentral:lncRNA from 1 species